UACGGGGGGGGCAAGCGUUGUUCGGAAUUACUGGGCGUAAAGGGCUCGUAGGUGGCCAACUAAGUCGGACGUGAAAUCCCUCGGCUUAACCGGGGAACUGCAUCCGAUACUGGAUGGCUUGAGUUCGGGAGAGGGAUGCGGAAUUCCAGGUGUAGCGGUGAAAUGCGUAGAUAUCUGGAGGAACACCGGUGGCGAAGGCGGCAUCCUGGACCGACACUGACGCUGAGGAGCGAAAGCGUGGGGAGCGAACCGG
rnacentral:rRNA from 1 species